CGGGGGGGGCAAGCGUUGUCCGGAAUUAUUGGGUGUAAAGGGCGCGUAGGCGGAUUUGUAAGUCAGUGGUGAAAUCUCGGGACUUAACUCCGAGACUGCCUCUGAGACUGCUUUUCUUGAGUGUGGAAGAGGAAAUCGGAAUUCCCGGUGUAGCGGUGAGAUGCGUAGAUAUCGGGAAGAACACCAGUGGCGAAGGCGGAUUUCUGGUCCACAACUGACGCUGAGGCGCGAAAGCGUGGGUAGCAAACAGGAUUAGAUACCCUGGUAGUCCACGCUGUAAACGAUGGGCACUAGGUGUCGGCUGUCAUGGUCGGCGCCGCAGCUAACGCAUUAAGUGCCCCACCUGGGAAGUACGGCCGCAAGGUUG
rnacentral:rRNA from 1 species